rnacentral:lncRNA from 1 species
AUUGGCUUUCCAAAAACGAUUGCAUUUGGUCUUCCAUUUUAUGGCUAUGCAUGGAACCUAACAGAUCCAAAUCAGCACAGUAUUUUUGCACCAGCCAGUGGAAUAGCAGUACCGCCGGAUGGAUCAGCGGGUUACAACCUAAUCAAGGCAUAUAUAGCUGAGAAUGGUGCACCAACUGUGUUUAAUUCUACACUUGUUAUGGACUAUUCCUAUACUGGGAAGACUUGGAUUGGUUAUGAUGAUAGGCAGAGUAUCACUACCAAAGUUUUGUAUGCUAAGCGAAAAGGACUACUGGGAUCCAUGUCAAUUGGACUCUUUCAGAUGCAGGUACAUCUAAGCAUUUAAAAGCUUCCCAAUCAUGUUUUUCAUCAUUAAUUAAUUGUACUGAUGAUGCCUAAUGUGUGUUAAAUUAGUUUGCAGCUUCAUGCGCAUGGGGAGCAAAGGGGCACUACUUUUCCUACCAGAAGAUGA